ACGAUGCGUAGCCGACCUGAGAGGGUGAUCGGCCACACUGGGACUGAGACACGGCCCAGACUCCUACGGGAGGCAGCAGUAGGGAAUCUUCCGCAAUGGACGAAAGUCUGACGGAGCAACGCCGCGUGAGUGAUGAAGGUUUUCGGAUCGUAAAGCUCUGUUGUUAGGGAAGAACAAGUGCCGUUCAAAUAGGGCGGCACCUUGACGGUACCUAACCAGAAAGCCACGGCUAACUACGUGCCAGCAGCCGCGGUAAUACGUAGGUGGCAAGCGUUGUCCGGAAUUAUUGGGCGUAAAGGGCUCGCAGGCGGUUUCUUAAGUCUGAUGUGAAAGCCCCCGGCUCAACCGGGGAGGGUCAUUGGAAACUGGGGAACUUGAGUGCAGAAGAGGAGAGUGGAAUUCCACGUGUAGCGGUGAAAUGCGUAGAGAUGUGGAGGAACACCAGUGGCGAAGGCGACUCUCUGGGCUGUAACUGACGCUGAGGAGCGAAAGCGUGGGGAGCGAA
rnacentral:rRNA from 1 species